UACGGAGGGGGCUAGCGUUGUUCGGAAUUACUGGGCGUAAAGCGCACGUAGGCGGAUACUUAAGUCAGGGGUGAAAUCCCGGGGCUCAACCCCGGAACUGCCUUUGAUACUGGGUAUCUCGAGUCCGAGAGAGGUGAGUGGAAUUCCGAGUGUAGAGGUGAAAUUCGUAGAUAUUCGCAAGAACACCAGUGGCGAAGGCGGCUCACUGGCCCGA
rnacentral:rRNA from 1 species